rnacentral:ribozyme from 1 species
UUAUUUUCUGUUUCUUCUUCUUUCUUCUUUUCUAUUUGCACUGCUGCUGGCAGCAGGGAUAGUAGUAGUACGUUGUAACAGUAGAGGGAGGAAAAGGAGGAACGACAAGGUGGGUGUAGUAAUCAUUACCAUUUUUUUUUGUCUCAUCAGCUUUAAUAAUCUUGAAAUGAAAGUA